rnacentral:lncRNA from 1 species
CACAGUCCUAGGCCAUGCAGAAUUCCCAACCCUAGUCAACCCACUGCAGAGGCCCCAACACUCUCCACCAAUGUCCCCCACAGUUCACCUGCUCCUCAUGCAGGUUCUACCUCACAGAGGUGGACAUAUUUGCCUGCUUGUAGAGGAUCAAGGCACCCAGUCUAUGCAGGCCAACAAUUAGCCUGAGGCCUUGCUGUUGGGUGGGGUCAGUCCCUAAGGCACGCUCCCUGCCCUGGCUGAGCUGGAUUAAAUUGAUCUUCUAGUGGAUGUGGCAGCCUCCGGGGCUAACCUGCCAGGGGAAGAACUCCAAUGGCAUCUGCCAGAGUCUGAGUCAGCACACCUGUACUAGGUCACAACAGCAGCUGCCACCAAGGUCUCAGUCUCCAGGGACUCUCACCUCUCGCCAAGAUGCACCCAGAGUCUACCAGGAAACCAAUAAAUUAAUAGGAAACGGACUUUUUAAAUGACAAACAACACCAAACAGAAUAGGAAGGGAACCACCAAAAAGAAGUGAUUUCAACAAAUGUCUGGAAGAUGGUAAGCAGAUAAAGGAAUGAUGACACAAAGCAGAGGAAGCCACAGCUUAGAAUACAUGCUGGACACGUACAUUCAACGGGAAAAUCUGUCUGCCAUGCUCAAUUCCUGACAAGACUGGGAUGUUGAAAUCCAGGUGUAACCUGCUUCUGCUGAAAGAAUCCUGAGUUAUGUAUACUAUGAAGGAUAUCGCAAUCUCUAUGCUGAGACUUCACCAUAUUAUUGCUGAUUUGGCGACUGCCUGUAUUGUGUUCCCAAUGUACCAGCAAGAGUAGCCAACCUUGGUCCUCCUUGGGCCCAAGCAGAUAAUUAGAUAUACUCAUACAGAAAUCUAACUCGGAAACAGGUUACAUGUAAAAGAUCACACAUUACAUCGUGUGAUCCCAACAAUAGUCCUAUGAGCUAGGUAUAUUAUUGAUAUCCCUAUUUUACAGAUGAAGAAAUUGAGAGUCAGAGAGAUUAAGUAAUUCACCCAAGGUUACAGAAAAAGUAAGUGAUGAAUACUGGAUUUCAGAGCUGGAAUUGCGAAGCACUCUACCACACUGCUUGUUAAUUUUGGCGUUUCUGUUUAGUAACCUAAUAACUGUGUGUUCCUGAUGCUUCUGAACUCUGGAUGUAGUGGCCAUCACCUGUGCCAGCAUGAAUACCAUGCAGGGUCUUGUGUGUGCUUGGAUAUACCAACUAUAUUUUGUUGUUAUCCUUUCCCUUUUCCUUAGUAUUUCAAAAAGGGUUAAUUGUUGGUGGUAAACUUCCCCAUUUAAUUCAUUGAGAUAGAUUGUGAUGGAAUUACAGGAGGAAUGGAGAACCCCUGGAGAUGAGAGACCUGUCGCACAAACAUAAGAAGUGAUGAGUAUUUGGAUCACCCACUUGGAGAGAGUGAAUUAAGCUUUGCUUUUCCGUUUUUUUUGCUUUUUGAUGGCUUGUUUUAUUAUGUUAGACUCUAUCACCUGUGAUGUUGCUAUUUGAGGACUUAAAUAUGUAAGACAUUAAUAUGCUGGUAUUGAACAGCCUAAGAGGUGGACUGUUCUAGAAGCUUUGGUAGAAUUUUUGGUUGCCCAGAACUUUUGAUUUACGUCCUGUAUUUGAGGAAAAUUCACCACCGAUGGGUCUCCUCAGAAAGCAGAUCCAAGCCUGUGAGAGCAGUCCCCAGGGCUAGGAGAAUUGGUGGUGUAAUGUGCACCGCCUCUGACAAUCAGGGGCAAAGGUGAUGCUUCCCCCAGACCAAAUAUAUGCCAUAGUUUUAGGUACUGUCCUGUCAGUACAGCACCACAGCUUGAUUCUCCAACAUUUCUGGGGAAUCGUUAAGGUAAUAUAUUUUAAUAAAUUUGUUUUUUAAUGUUUGAA